AUGAAUGGGGGUCAAUGCAAAGUUGCUUGGGCAGACGUCUGUGCCCCCACUAAGAAGGGCGGCCUGGGCUUUAGAUGCCUUCGUACUCAUAAUAUUUGCCUGCUUCUAAAAUCCCUCAGUAAAAUACACCAUCCCGGUCUUGGCUCUUGGGACUCUUGGCUUGCCUCCACGUAUGGUUGGGAAGGCGGGCACUACAUUGGUGACACUCAUAGACUACACACAAUUUUUUGGAAGGACCUCCUGUCUGGUCUCCCUUUCUUCCGCUCUAUUACCCACGUCAAGAUCGGUAACGGUGUCUCAACCGCGUUUUGGUUGGAUCUAUGGAUCGGCAACGAUACCUUGGCUGCUCGCUUCCCAAGUCUUUUCUCCCAUGUUACAAAACCUAAUGUAUCUGUAGCGUUUGUUCUUUCAGCGGAGGAUCUUCGUCUUUCGUUACAACCACGUCUGACCAUCGCUGCUACUAACGAGCUUCUUUGCCUGCGUACUGUUUUAGCCACAGUUAACUUGAUGCCGCAGGUACCGGAUAACCGUUUAUGCAGGAUCAACGAUAAGCCUCUUUCUGUUGCUUCUGCAUAUGGAGCUGCUUUCUCAUCUCGGCCGGAUGAUCAGUUCUCUGAAUUCAUCUGGAGGAAGAACUAUGCGACUAAUCGGUGUAGGUUAUUUAUCUGGCUGGCGCAUGGAGGAAGACUGUUUACCAACGAGCGUCGCUUCCAGAGGGACCUACCGGACUCCGAUACCUGCCCUUUCUGUUCGGAAACGGAGUCUACUUCCCACAUGCUAAUUCACUGCCAUGUUGCCACUCAAGCUUGGAUGACUGUGGACUCGCUAAACAUCAACCCUUCAGAUUGUUCUUCCAUCCAAGACCUGCAAGGGUGUUCACCUGCUUGCAACUUUCGCAAUACGGUUACUAUGUCCAUCCUCUGGAGCAUGUGGAAUAGAAGGAACGCUAAAGUUUUCAAGCAAGAAGAUGAGUCUUUGGGCUGCGUUCUUCGGCGGGCAUCGCAAGACCUCUUUCUUUGGGCUCAUCAAUGUGGAAAGGAGAAUCGCAAACAAAUUCUGAUCGACUGGGGAAACAUGUUGUCCCGGCUAGAUGUAGCAUAG
rnacentral:rRNA from 1 species